GAUCAUGGCUCAGGAUGAACGCUAGCUACAGGCUUAACACAUGCAAGUCGAGGGGCAGCAUGACGAUAGCUUGCUAUGUGAUGGCGACCGGCGCACGGGUGAGUAACGCGUAUCCAACCUUCCCUAUAGUAGAGGAUAGCCCGGCGAAAGUCGGAUUAAUACUCUAUGUUUUCCAAUGCAGACAUCUAAAAAGUGGAACAAAGGCUUGCCGCUAUAGGAUGGGGAUGCGUCUGAUUAGGUUGUUGGCGGGGUAACGGCCCACCAAGCCUACGAUCGGUAGGGGUUCUGAGAGGAAGGUCCCCCACAUUGGAACUGAGACACGGUCCAAACUCCUACGGGAGGCAGCAGUGAGGAAUAUUGGUCAAUGGGCGAGAGCCUGAACCAGCCAAGUAGCGUGCCAGGAUGACGGCCCUAUGGGUUGUAAACUGCUUUUAUAUAGGGAUAAAGUGACCCACGUGUGGGUUUUUGUAGGUACUAUAUGAAUAAGGACCGGCUAAUUCCGUGCCAGCAGCAGC
rnacentral:rRNA from 1 species